AGAGCUGAGUGGGCUGAGAAGCAACCUGAUCCAUGACAGAGAUCAACACAAAGUCUAGCACUUGGGUCCGAAUGGCAUCUUGCAGGAAGAAUGGCAGCUUUCUGAUAAUGGUUGGAUUGGAGCAGUUGGCUCAGGUUAAGGCCAAAAUGGAAGCUUGAAUUGGAGUAGCGAGGCUCAUAGAAGGGCAGGACUGGCCUGAUGCCCCACUCCCUGAUACAGGAGGAAGAGGAGCUGGACAGAGAGAGAGAGAGAGAA